rnacentral:misc_RNA from 1 species
UAAUUACUUUCUAUGCUAGUACCUCACAUUUCAUAUUCCAAAAGCAUAACAGAAAUUCAUUGUACCUGAAUGUCGAAAAGAGCUUCAUGGACUAUAUCAUUACUAUAUAAACAAGUAAAAUACUCCAUUUUACAAAAUUUAUAAGAAGUACUACUCUACUUGAGACGAGCACCUUUACAAAGAUUCCGCAGUUAUCACUACGUUUAUACCAAGUUCUUCCGACUUGAACUUUAACAUUCUGUGAUGCACGCGUACAUAAAUAAAUUGUUUCAUCUCAUCAAUCUGUACAUAUUUCUUCAAAUUUGA